rnacentral:tRNA from 3 species
GGGCCCAUAGCUCAUCUGGUAGAGCGCCUCGUUUGCACCGAGGAGGUGGCAGGUUCGAGUCCUGUUGGGUCCACCA